rnacentral:rRNA from 1 species
UACGGAGGGGGCGAGCGUUAUUCGGAAUUAUUGGGCGUAAAGGGCGCGUAGGCGGCUUGAUGUGUCAAAGGUGAAAUCCCUCGGCUCAACUGAGGAACUGCCUUUGAAACUGUCUGGCUUGAGGCCGGGAGAGGGUAGCGGAAUUCCCAGUGUAGCGGUGAAAUGCGUAGAUACUGGGAGGAACACCGGUGGCGAAGGCGGCUACCUGGACCGGUUCUGACGCUGAGGUGCGAAAGCGUGGGGAGCAAACAGG